rnacentral:rRNA from 1 species
AGCGAACGCUGGCGGCAGGCUUAACACAUGCAAGUCGAGCGGGCACUUCGGUGUCAGCGGCAGACGGGUGAGUAACACGUGGGAACGUACCCUUCGGUUCGGAAUAACGCUGGGAAACUAGCGCUAAUACCGGAUACGCCCUUUUGGGGAAAGGUUUACUGCCGAAGGAUCGGCCCGCGUCUGAUUAGCUAGUUGGUGGGGUAAUGGCCUACCAAGGCGACGAUCAGUAGCUGGUCUGAGAGGAUGAUCAGCCACACUGGGACUGAGACACGGCCCAGACCCCUACGGGGGGCAGCAGUGGGGAAUAUUGGAAAAUGGGCGCAAGCCUGACCCACCCAUGCCGGGUGAGGUAUAAAGGCCUUAGGGUUGUAAAGCUCUUUUGUCCGGGACGAUAAUGACGGUACCGGAAAAAUGAGCCCCGGCUAACUUCGU